UGCACGGUGGUGCAGUUGGUAGCACUGUUGCCUUGCAGCAAUAAGGUCCUGGGUUCAACUGCAUGGAGUUUGCAUGUUCUCCCCGUGCAU